rnacentral:tRNA from 1 species
GCGUCGAUGGUCUAGUGGUUAUGACUUGGGCCUUCCAUGCGUUUGCGAAGCAAGCCUACAACCCGGGUUCGAAUCCCGGUCGACGCA